GCCAUUAUUAACAGUUCCAAAACACGAUACAAGUUCAAAACACAGAUCUUCAUUCAAAACAUAAAGGCCAAAACCGCAAUCCAAAGAAUAAUCCAAAAAUACAAGCAAAGAUCAAGGGGAUGGUAAAGCAGUCAGAGAAAUAAUAAGGCUCAGAACUAGGGUCACAGGGAGCCUAUCCCAGGGAACUUGGGGCACAAAGCAGAGGACACCCUGGACAGGGCACCAACCCAUCACAGGGCACAAUCACACACACUACUGACAAUUUGGAAAUGCCAAUCAGCCUACAAAAAAAGUCUUUGAACUGGGGAGGAAAGCACAGGGAGAACAUGCAUACUCAGGCAACCAUGCUAACCACUAAGCCACAAUGCUGCUCUGUGUUGGACAGCCAGACAAACAUGACAUCACUGAUCUAAAGUGCUUAUGAGAGAACAGGUUUCACUCCCCCUAUCCAGUAUGGAUGAUUAGUCAGGGGUGUGUGAUUGGCUUGUAAAACUGG